GUCAGCACACAAGCAGCAAGAACAAGCCGUGGGUGGCCGGAAGGACCACUUCUCUCCCUUCUCAGCUGCGCCCUCUAGCGACAUUAUCAAUGACGGAAUGCACCGACAAUACAAUGGCCCGAAACCGCAGAAUGCUGAAAACGCCGCACGAGCUGACGAUGAAAACUCCUACCACAGCUACAUCCAGACGGCAGACCGGGACUUGGGAAAUGGGGACCUGGACGCAGCAGAGAAGAACCUAGCAGCCGCCCUGAAGCUGGUUCACGGUCUGUCAUGCACUGUC